GUGGCUUCCCGCUUCCCUAGGACUUCACCCUCUUGGAUUGCCCUAGCUGGGAUCCGAGUGCUGGAAGAUCGAUACAAGUACAAUAUUUGCUUGGCUUUUGCACCAUCCUUGGACAAGGCUCGCGGAGUUACCUAGAAUCCAACAAGAAAACUUGCCUUCUGGAUUUACAUUUUCUGCUUCAACGACAGACUUCUCAAGAAGUUUGGGGUUUUAUUGGGGGGAGUGGUGGACGCUGCAUUAAAGGUCAUUCAGAACCAUUAAAUUUUUAUUUUCUCCCCACCAUAUACCGAUAGUGGGCAAUCUGUAUUUCUCCUUUCUUUUAUGUGUGUGUGUAUUUGUAUGAAAUCGUAGUUUUAGCAGUGGCAUUGCUCCCUUAGAACACGCAAACAAUCCUUGUUGAAGGUUGGAAAAUUGGAAGUGGAUGCGGUUUUCACCACCUAUAUUUGGAGGCACAUGAUAAACAAAUUGUACUAGUUGAGGAAGUUUAGGUGUUGAAACACAGCACAGGAUUGGCACAUACUUGGGUUCCUGCUUAGGUAAGCAACAUCAGAAAAUACUUUGAAUGGGGACACUGAGGGCGGCUGAAGGCUCCAAACUCAGCAGUCUGAGGCAGAAGGCUCUUUUCAGUCACUGAUUGUAUCAUUUCAAACCAGUCUAGACAACAAAGCAAGACUUCAUCUCCAAACAGAGCAAAACAGGGAAUGCUAGAGCACACAGUUCUCUUCUGACACUGGAUAUGAGGAAGCAACAAAAAGACAUAAAGGUCUUCCCUUAUGAAACUUACUAGAUACGAAAUAAACAGUAGACACCACGCGUGUGUGCGUAGUCUGUAAACGAAAGCAGAAGGCUGUAAAUGCUCCCGGGCAGAAGUAUGGAGUAUGUAGAGGCUGGGAAGGGGGUUAGCAUUCUUAGCAGCCGGGCAGGGUGGGCAUUAUUGAGAAGGGUGGCUUUGAACAGUAAGUGGUGGGAAAUCAGCCUCGUGGAUGCCAAGGAAAGGAUGAAUCCUGGAAGCCUAGCGCCGUUGCGGUGCAAAGGCUGAAUAGUGAGACUGAGACUGAACAUGAUGCGUUUUUAUCACCAAAAUGAGAAAUGUCUGGGGAGAGAUGCUUAACCUGAUGUGAAGAUUACAUGUUGCAUAUUACAUAUCAGAGCACUAUGCUGCACUGCAUCUCUAUGCAGUUUCAUGUUUUAUGUAUGUUAAAAAUGCAUCUUUAACAAGUGAAGUGCUACAACUUGGUUCUAAAUAUUGUAGUGCUAAAUUCAACUACUUCAGGACUUUCAAGCUCAUUUCUUCAUGCUCACCAAAACUGAAGAAAUAAUGUAUAUCCAUAUAAAUGCUUUCAAAAUAAAAGCAUUUCAUAGAACAAAAAGCAAAGCAAAACAAACAAAAACAAGGACAUUAGCAGAAACGAAAGAAACUAGGAAGCAUGAUUGUUAAUUUUUUUACCACUGAGCCACCUCCCUGGCCCUUUUUGUUAAUUUUUUAACUAACAUAUUCAACUAUUCCAGAAAAUUCAGUUCAGCAUAUUCAGCUAUAUCAGAAAAGCCAGUGUGGCUUGAGCAGAGGAAUGUGGGAGAAAUAAAUGAAGUCAGAGGUAAGGAAAGGAAAGCAGAUUAAAGACAAGGGCCAUUGUAGAGACUGGGACUUCACUCUGAAAUUUAAUAACGCUGAAUAAACAUGUUCAGUGUUGAAUCUGCUGAACUACCACAAAAUUCAAAAUAUGUUUAUCAGAAGUAGAGAAUCCCGUUUUGAAGGAGCUAUUACCAAACCAAAUGGCUACUUGAUUAAUUCACCUUAAUUACUAUUGAGAGCAAUUUAGCAUGUCACCAGACAUCUUUUCCUUGUGAAAUAGUAUUUGGUAGUUAGGUGAUCUAACAAACUUAGAUGCCAUAUAAAGAAAGUUCACAUGAAUUGGCAUGAUAAGCAUGUGCACAAUCUUCAUAUAAAUAACAUUCAAAAUCUACCCUGUACUGUUGAUUUUUCUUUUCAGAUAAAAUAAAACUUACAUCUACUUCCUUGAAGCACAGCAUAUUAUGUAUGUCUUCCCUCACCCCCCCCCCCCCACAUCUGUUUUUUGAGUGUACAGUGCUGGGCACUGCACCUGGGAUUUUGCAAAUGCUAAAUGAGGCUUAUAUUCCUGACUUCUAUCCCUAGCCCCCUUUUUAUUUUUUGAGUCAAGGCUUCACCAGGCUGGAUUAGAACUCAGACUUUCAAGUGUCUAAUAUUACAGGUGUCUAAUCUUUUUUUAAAAAAACUAAUCAAUUUCCAAUGCUAAAAAUGUACAGAAAGAACAAGAUGUGACUAUAGGAAACUUUAUAGUGAUGUAAGCAUACUCAUGUAUUUAUAGAGAUGAUAUUGAAAUAUAUAUGUGAAUGAUUAUGUGUGUAGAAAGGGAGAUAAUUCAAAUUCUCCAGAGAAUAUCAAGUCUGAGAGUUGGAUAACCUGUUUAGCAUGCAAAAGUCAGUGUAUUUAAAUUGUUUAUAGGAAUAGCUGUAGGCAAAUCAUAGCCUUUCAAAUCUCCUACCUACCAUGCCUAGGUUACCCAAGUGGAGCUUUGAUUUAAAAUAAUUGUAACCUAAUCUGCCCACCCUAAAUGAAAUAUAGCACUUACCCAGAAAGUAUGACUUGAUUUAAUAAAUACAGAGUAUAUAACAGUUUGAACUAGAAGGUAAGAAACAUGGAGGUAAUACUUCAGUUUGAAAAUAAGUGUUUUAACAGAAUAAUUUACCAAAUUUAAAUAUCUGUUCUUACAAGCAAAAACAAAAAGCUUUGAGGGGCUCGGUAUGUUUUUAGAUGCCUAUAAUCCUAGAACUUCAGGAUUGUAGCUUUAUAGUAAGCCUGUGAGACCCCUGACACAAUUUCAAAUAAAUUAGAUGUGUAUUUUUUUUUAGUUUUUCAAGACAGGUUUUCUCUGUGUAUCCCUGGCCGUCCUGGAACAUUGUAGACCAGGCUGGCCACGAACUCACAGAGAUCCACCUACCUCUGCCUCCGGACUGCUGGUAUUAAGGGUGUAUGCCACACUUCCCAGCAAUUACAUUUAAUUUUAAAAUGCCUGGUACAAUUAAAUUGUCAUAUGUGUUUUAAAAGAAGUUUUUGUCUGUCUUUCAGAAAUGAAUACAGUGGUAAGAGGUGAAAAAUAGAAAACCAGAGGUCAUAGCACAUUUUCUCUUCUGGUUGCUUUAUCAUGCCAUGUUGUUACUUGCUAUUGUUUUUUGGUUUUGGUUUUUUUCUCUUAGCUUUUAGACUUAAAAAAUGUGAAAUACUACUUCAGCCUGAGAUAAAGUGAUACUUUUUCUGUUACAAAACUAAAAAUUUAGAACUCACAUUUAAUCUAAUUGUCUCUCUGUAAAUGUAAAAAUAAAGGUUAUAAUAAUCUUUCCAUUUGUACUAAGUCCUUAUUUCUUUGUGAAACAUUGUGCUAUUAUUGAAUCAAUGAUAAUCCAAAUAUGUUACAUUUUGAAGAGCCACUAAAAAAACCCCUGUCCUGUUUUACUUUUUCCCCUUAAUGAGAUAUACUUCUGACCAGGGUAUUAGUCAUUUAUUUUUUCUUAUGUCCCAGAGUCUUGUACAUUCUAAACAUGAAUUUCACUUAUAAUUGAGCUAUAGCCCUGGCCUGAAGGUUCCUUUCAAUUUACAUCCUACAAUAGCUAACCUGUUCUAACUUUAUGUAUCACCUACAUUUCAUAAAUGAUUGUAAUUAGCUAUUUAAUGCUUCAACAAAUUGUUUCUAGUGUGUCUGCAAUAAAUUUAUUCUCUCAGAAA